rnacentral:rRNA from 1 species
UACGGAGGGUGCAAGCGCUAUCCGGAUUCACUGGGUUUAAAGGGUGCGUAGGUGGAUCGGUAAGUCCGUGGUGAAAUCCCCGAGCUUAACUCGGGAACUGCCGUGGAUACUAUCGAUCUUGAAUACUGUGGAGGUAAGCGGAAUAUGUCAUGUAGCGGUGAAAUGCUUAGAUAUGACAUAGAACACCGAUUGCGAAGGCAGCUUGCUACACGAUCAUUGACACUGAGGCACGAAAGCGUUGGGGGAUCAAACAGG